rnacentral:rRNA from 1 species
GGCGGACGGGUGAUAACGCGUGAGAAUCAUGCCCAUUUGUGGGGGAUAACUUGGGGAAACCCAAGCUAAUACCGCAUAAUCCCUACGGGGGAAAGCAGCGGACCUUCGGGCCUUGUGCAGAUGGAUGAGCUCGCGUCGGAUUAGCUUGUUGGUGAGCUAAAGGCUCACCAAGGCGACGAUCCGUAGCUGGCUGAGAGGAUGAUCAGCCACACCGGGACUGAGACACGGCCCGGACUCCUACGGGAGGCAGCAGUGGGGUAAUCAUGGACAAUGGGGGCAACCCUGAUCCAGCCAUGCCGCGUGUGUGAGAAGGCCCUAGGGUUGUAAAGCACUUUCAGUAGGGAGGAAGGCUUGAUCUUAAUACGGUCAAGUACUUGACGUUACCUACAGAAGCAACACCGGCUAAUUUCGUGCCAGCAGGGCGGUAAUACGAAAGGUGCGAGCGUUAAUCGGAAUUACUGGGCGUAAGCGCGCGUAGGCGGUUUGUUAAGUCAGAUGUGAAAGCCCCGGGCUCACCUGGGAAUGCAUUUGAAACUGGCAAGCUAGAGUGCAGUAGAGUGGAGGUGGAAUUCCGGUGUAGCGGUGAAAUGCGUAGAGAUCGGAAGGACACCAGUGGCGAAGCGGCU